CCGCGGUAAUACGUAGGUGGCAAGCGUUAUCCGGAAUUAUUGGGCGUAAAGCGCGCGCAGGCGGUCUCUUAAGUCUGAUGUGAAAGCCCCCGGCUCAACCGGGGAGGGUCAUUGGAAACUGGGAGACUUGAGUGCAGAAGAGAAGAGCGGAAUUCCACGUGUAGCGGUGAAAUGCGUAGAGAUGUGGAGGAACACCAGUGGCGAAGGCGGCUCUUUGGUCUGUAACUGACGCUGAGGCGCGAAAGCGUGGGGAGCGAACAGG
rnacentral:rRNA from 1 species